CUCAGUAACGGCGAGUGAAGCGGCAAAAGCUCAAAUUUGAAAUCUAGCACUUUCAGUGUUCGAGUUGUAAUUUGAAGAAGGUAACUUUGGUUUUGGCUCUUGUCUAUGUUCCUUGGAACAGGACGUCACAGAGGGUGAGAAUCCCGUGCGAUGAGAUGCCCAAUUCCAUGUAAAGUGCUUUCGAAGAGUCGAGUUGUUUGGGAAUGCAGCUCUAAGUGGGUGGUAAAUUCCAUCUAAAGCUAAAUAUUGGCGAGAGACCGAUAGCGAACAAGUACAGUGAUGGAAAGAUGAAAAGAACUUUGAAAAGAGAGUGAAAAAGUACGUGAAAUUGUUGAAAGGGAAGGGCUUGAGAUCAGACUUGGUAUUUUGCGUUCCCUUCCUUUUUGGUUGGGUUCCUCGCAGUUUACUGGGCCAGCAUCGGUUUGGAUGGUAGGAUAAUGACAUUGGAAUGUAGCUUUACUUCGGUGAAGUGUUAUAGACUUUGUUGAUACUGCCUAUCUAGACCGAGGACUGCGUCUUUGACUAGGAUGCUGGCGUAAUGAUCUUAAGCCGCCCGUCUUGAAACACGGACCAAGGAGUCUAACGUCUAUGCAAGUGUUUGGGUGUAAAACCCGUACGCGUAAUGAAAGUGAACGUAGGUGAGAGCCUUUUAGGUGCAUCAUCGACCGAUCCUGAUGUCUUCGGAUGGAUUUGAGUAAGAGC
rnacentral:rRNA from 1 species